UUUCAAUCCUCUCAACUGCUGUUAACUUAUGUUUUCUUCUCCUUCAUUUUUUUAGACAUUACAUCCAAAAGGCAAGAAAAACUUUCACAGAUUCUAGAGUGAGACGAAAUUUAAAUUCUCUCAAUACAGAACUGCAAGAUGUACAAAGAAUAAUGGUCCAGAACAUUGAUGAAGUUUUACAACGUGGAACUGUUCUUGCAGAUCUUGACUCCAAAGCUCAACACCUGUCAUUUCUCUGCAGAAGUAUAAAAAGGAUGCAACCUAUUGAACAUGAAGUCAGUGUAUGUUUAAAGUUGCAGCAGGAUGUAUUGCAGUCUUUGUGUUCUUCCUUUACUUUUGGGUUUUGUAAAUGCCUUUGUAUCCAUCUCUGACUUUUUUCCCCCUCUACUUUAUUGGUGUUUCUUUGAUUUUAUUCUGGCCAUUGCUAUAAGGCAUUGUUGUCUCAGUUGUUAAUUACUGAGUCUGCCCUUUUCUGUGGGUCAAUUUAAUUCUAAGGGUUCCCAUUUGAACACUGACUUUUUCUUAGUCUUCUUUAGGGAGGGUGUGAGUAUUGAAAUAGGAUCUGACACUUAGGAAAAAGUAUUUUGUAUUGUUUAAAAAUUAUAUCUGAUCAUAAGAAAUCGAUCUUCCUGCCAAAUAUUGACUCUAAGGGUAGGAAAAUGUUUUUCAAAAUUUCUCACCUUAAAAACGGAGGCGAUAAUGAAAAUGAAAAAAAACAUGUGAGAUUGAAAAAUAAGUGGCUGUCCGGCCUAAAAAAUAAAUGUAUGUAUGGAAGUUAUUUACAUUGACACCGGUCACCACUUUUUUUCGAGAGUGAUAAAUUCCUGGCUAGUGGUAGCCCUAACUCUGGCUUACUUUACCUAAUUUCAAACGAAAUUAUUUUAGAUUUCCAUUCUUUUGAGUAUUUUAAAAGGAUUUUGCUAUAUUGAGUGCUACGAGUUUUUAAAGUAAUUAUCUCUAAGGGAAUUUUACAUUUUACCAUUUUAUUCUCAACCAAUCAUUUUUUCCUCUACUUCAUUUUUUAAAAAUUACGUAUUCUGCAUCUUAAGUACCUAAUAUAUUAUAAAAACCAUGGGUGGUUACUAAAAUUGCUCAGGCAUUUAUUUUAGCAAUUUUAUUUGCUUUGAUAUGCAUGUGCAUACAAAAAACCAAAUGAAUGAUUUAUUUGUAAAUGAUAAUUUAUUGUAUAUGAUAGGGCUAGCAGCAGCAAAUUCUAUUGUCGACAGUCUGUACCAUCAUCAGUGCCAUUGCAAAUGUGAAAAAUAAGUGUCAGCAAAACAUUUUAACCAUCAGGCAGGUGUUAAAAGACAGGAUGUUUAUUAUAGCUAAGAUUCAUUCAGAAUUAGCGCUCUUUUAAAAGUAUAGAGCUUAUGGCUUACAUGAAAUCAACAGUGAAUGUAUUUAGUAUUACACGCCAAGGAUUGAAAUAUGUUUUUUCAUAUGUAAGUUUUACUUUUUGUUUAUUCCCCAAAAAUUGUUAUUUAUUUUUCAAUUAUAUAGUAUUUCAUGGUUAUUACUGUUGGUUUGAUUUUUUUAUCAUUGUCCCAGCCACAAUGAAGCUAUCUUAGCAG
rnacentral:lncRNA from 1 species